rnacentral:rRNA from 1 species
GACGAACGCUGGCGGCGUGCUUAACACAUGCAAGUCGAGCGGCGCGGCGAACGGGUGAGUAACGCGUGAGUAACUGCCCCCCUCUCUGGCAUAACAGUUGGAAACGGCUGCUAAUACCGGAUAGUGGGGGCUGACUCGCGUCCUAUUUGCUGGUUGGUGGAGUAGUGGCAUACCAAGGUGACGACUGGUAGCCGGCCUGAGAGGGGAACCGGCCACAGUGGGCUGCGGUAGGGCGCAAACUCCUACGGGAGGCAGUGGGGGAGAAUAUUGCACAGUGAGGGAAAGCCAGUUGCAGCAGCGCGGGUGCGGGAUGACGGCCUUCGGGUGGUGAACCGGUUUCAGCCAUGACGCGGUAGUGGCAGAAGAAGCACCGGCUAACUACGUGCCAGCAGCCGCGGUAAUUC